GUUUUAAAGAUAGCAAGUUUCCUUCUUACUGUUUUGUCAAAAGACUAGACCCAUAACACCUGCGAUAUCAAUCUGCCCAAUUCGACAACCGCCGCCUUCAAAGAAAAUUUCCCUCACAAACCUGUAUCUAACAGCUCUCUUGUGAACUAAAAUCACCGCCAUCCAACACUGGCACAACACAUUGCCUUACGUCUAGUUCCAUUAAAUCUUGGCCCCAUCUCCUUCAAUUUGUAAACCCAUUUUUAACAUCAAUGAAGUUCUUAUCUACACCCACGCUCCAACCCUCUAAGGUCAGCAAUUCCUUUUUUUAAUCCAACACCAGCAGAAUCUCAACUUAGUAGCACAAGAUUAGACCCACCCAACUUGCUCCAUAAUGUAUUUCCAAUUCAUCGGUUUCUCCAUUGAUGCCUGCAGAACACGAUGAUACCUCCAUCAGUUCACCUCUCUUUGGUUUUCAAUGAAGGCCCAUUUCAGUUCGUGCUCCUCUACCUCGGUUUCAGAUGGUGAUUUCUCUCUAUGGCUUUGUUUUGAUUUCAACAGUGUCAAAUCCAUCUUGCUCGGCCAUAAGUUUCCGGAUUUUGCUGCUUUCAAAGUCCUUCAUUUUGU
rnacentral:misc_RNA from 1 species